rnacentral:rRNA from 1 species
GCGAGUCUGAAUAGGGCGCUUAGUCAGAUGCUGCAGACCCGAAACGAAGUGAUCUAUCCAUGAGCAAGUUGAAGCUAGUGUAAGAACUAGUGGAGGACUGAACCCAUAGGCGUUGAAAAGCCCCGGGAUGACUUGUGGAUAGGGGUGAAAGGCCAAUCAAACUUCGUGAUAGCUGGUUCUCUCCGAAAUAUAUUUAGGUAUAGCGUUGUGUCGUAAUAUAAGGGGGUAGAGCACUGAAUGGGCUAGGGCAUACACCAAUGUACCAAACCCUAUCAAACUCCGAAUACCUUAUAUGUAAUCACAGCAGUCAGGCGGCGAGUGAUAAAAUCCGUCGUCAAGAGGGAAACAACCCAGACUACCAGCUAAGGUCCCUAAAUCUUACUUAAGUGGAAAACGAUGUGAAGUUACUUAAACAACCAGGAGGUUGGCUUAGAAGCAGCCAUCCUUUAAAGAAAGCGUAAUAGCUCACUGGUCUAGUGAUUUUGCGCGGAAAAUAUAACGGGGCUAAAGUAAGUACCGAAGCUGUAGACUUGCACACAACUUAGAUUAUUUAAGUUUAGAAUAUGAGAAACUAAGUUAUAUGUUUAGUUAUAUUUUUACUGAUUUUUAUAGAGUAAAGAUAGAAAUAAAACUUAAUAAAAUCAGUAAAAAUAUUCUUAGGCUAAAGUUAAGUAGUUUAAGUUGUGUGCAAGUGGUAGGAGAGCGUUCUAUUUGCGUCGAAGGUAUACCGGUAAGGAGUGCUGGAGCGAAUAGAAGUGAGCAUGCAGGCAUGAGUAGCGAUAAUUAAUGUGAGAAUCAUUAACGCCGUAAACCCAAGGUUUCCUACGCGAUGCUCGUCAUCGUAGGGUUAGUCGGGUCCUAAGUCGAGUCCGAAAGGGGUAGACGAUGGCAAAUUGGUUAAUAUUCCAAUACCAACAUUAGUGUGCGAUGGAAGGACGCUUAGGGCUAAGGGGGCUAGCGGAUGGAAGUGCUAGUCUAAGGUUGUAGGAGGUUAUACAGGCAAAUCCGUAUAACAAUACUCCGAGAACUGAAAGGCUUUUUGAAGUCUUCGGAUGGAUAGAAGAACCCCUGAUGCCGUCGAGCCAAGAAAAGUUUCUAAGUUUAGCUAAUGUUGCCCGUACCGUAAACCGACACAGGUGGGUGGGAUGAGUAUUCUAAGGCGCGUGGAAGAACUCUCUUUAAGGAACUCUGCAAAAUAGCACCGUAUCUUCGGUAUAAGGUGUGGUUAGCUUCGUACUAGGAUUUACUCCGAAAGCGAAGAAACUUACAACAAAGAGUCCCUCCCGACUGUUUACCAAAAACACAGCACUCUGCUAACUCGUAAGAGGAUGUAUAGGGUGUGACGCCUGCCCGGUGCUCGAAGGUUAAUUGAUGGGGUUAGCAUUAGCGAAGCUCUUGAUCGAAGCCCGAGUAAACGGCGGCCGUAACUAUAACGGUCCUAAGGUAGCGAAAUUCCUUGUCGGUUAAAUACCGACCUGCAUGAAUGGCGUAACGAGAUGGGAGCUGUCUCAAAGAGGGAUCCAGUGAAAUUGUAGUGGAGGUGAAAAUUCCUCCUACCCGCGGCAAGACGGAAAGACCCCGUGGACCUUUACUACAGCUUGACACUGCUACUUGGAUAAGAAUGUGCAGGAUAGGUGGGAGGCUUUGAGUAUAUGACGCCAGUUGUAUAUGAGCCAUUGUUGAGAUACCACUCUUUCUUAUUUGGGUAGCUAACCAGCUUGAGUUAUCCUCAAGUGGGACAAUGUCUGGUGGGUAGUUUGACUGGGGCGGUCGCCUCCCAAAUAAUAACGGAGGCUUACAAAGGUUGGCUCAGAACGGUUGGAAAUCGUUCGUAGAGUAUAAAGGUAUAAGCCAGCUUAACUGCAAGACAUACAAGUCAAGCAGAGACGAAAGUCGGUCUUAGUGAUCCGGUGGUUCUGUGUGGAAGGGCCAUCGCUCAAAGGAUAAAAGGUACCCCGGGGAUAACAGGCUGAUCUCCCCCAAGAGCUCACAUCGACGGGGAGGUUUGGCACCUCGAUGUCGGCUCAUCGCAUCCUGGGGCUGGAGCAGGUCCCAAGGGUAUGGCUGUUCGCCAUUUAAAGCGGUACGCGAGCUGGGUUCAGAACGUCGUGAGACAGUUCGGUCCCUAUCUGCCGUGGGCGUAAGAAGAUUGAAGAGAUUUGACCCUAGUACGAGAGGACCGGGUUGAACAAACCACUGGUGUAGCUGUUGUUCUGCCAAGAGCAUCGCAGCGUAGCUAAGUUUGGAAAGGAUAAACGCUGAAAGCAUCUAAGCGUGAAGCCAACUCUAAGAUGAAUCUUCUCUAAGCUCUCUAGAAGACUACUAGUUUGAUAGGCUGGGUGUGUAAUGGAUGAAAGUCCUUUAGCUGACCAGUACUAAUAGAGCAUUUGGCUUAUCUUUAAUAAAGCAU